rfam:Apaloderma vittatum contig24147, whole genome shotgun sequence.
GGCCAGUUAGCUCAGUCAGUUGAGCGUGGCGUUAACAACGCCGAGGUCGCGGGGUCAAUUCCCAUUCGGGCCC